GUCAUGUAUGAAAGGAUAAAAGGUUAGCACUCCAAGGAUUGAAGAGGACCAUGUGGCCUUCAACACAGGCGUUGGCAACAACUUCGUGGCAUCUCUAACCAAGUUUUUUU
ensembl:snRNA